UGGGGAAUUUUGGACAAUGGGCGCAAGCCUGAUCCAGCAAUGCCGCGUGCAGGAUGAAGGCCUUCGGGUUGUAAACUGCUUUUGUACAGAACGAAAAAGCUCUCUCUAAUACAGGGGGUGAAUGACGGUACCGUAAGAAUAAGCACCGGCUAACUACGUGCCAGCAGCCGCGGUAAUACGUAGGGUGCAAGCGUUAAUCGGAAUUACUGGGCGUAAAGCGUGCGCAGGCGGUUUUGUAAGACAGGGGUGAAAUCCCCGGGCUCAACCUGGGAACUGCCUUUGUGACUGCAAGGCUAGAGUGCUUCAGAGGGAGGUGGAAGUCCGCGUGUAGCAGUGAAAUGCGUAGAGAUGCGGAGGAACACCGAUGGCGAAGGCAGCCGCCUGGGAUGACACUGACGCUCAUGCACGAAAGCGUGGGGAGCAAACA
rnacentral:rRNA from 1 species